rnacentral:rRNA from 4 species
AAACUUUCAACAACGGAUCUCUUGGUUCUGGCAUCGAUGAAGAACGCAGCGAAAUGCGAUAAGUAAUGUGAAUUGCAGAAUUCAGUGAAUCAUCGAAUCUUUGAACGCACAUUGCGCCUAUUAGUAUUCUAGUAGGCAUGCCUGUUCGAGCGUCAUU